UCUCUGUGCAGAAAGGCAAUAACAGCGACUGAUUGCCGUGUUCCCUUUCCACUGUACUUGUUGUUUUUGCUUCCCUAGGGCGAUUGCCGGCUCUCACACACACAUCUGCAUGCAUACGAAAAUCACAUUAACUGUGCUUUGUGCUGGUAGUAGUGCUGAAAUUAUGAGUAAUGAGCAAUCUGGAUAAAACUUGAAAUUGAGGGCUUGCUGCCUUCGCCGACUUGUUGACCAAGUGUAUACAUAUGUAUGGCCAAAACACAUUAGACGCAAAUCCAGUUUCGGCAGACCUACUUAAAAUGUAUCAUCGAUUAGACUAAAACGGCGAUGCACACGGAAACUGGCCGACCAGAAAACGAGUUUUCCGUGCCUAGGUGCAUGCAAUAAUCGCCCGACUAAAGCGAAACACACAAAACCCGACCAAUAUGGCCGCCAAAAAGGAGAGGCAACCGGAGAGCCCCCACCGGGGACCAGAGCCCAAAUCACCGAAGCAGAAACCGGGAAUCUUUUUUUUACUUCACAGAGGAUGUGUUAUUUAUAAUGCAUAUGGCAGCUGUGCUAAAUAAAAUUGUAAAGCAGCUGCACAUACACACACACACACGCACACACAGACAGCGCUUGCGCUCGGUGAAUAAAAUUCCAUGACACAAGUGAAAA